AAAAACAUCACCUCCAGCAUUCCCAGUAUUGGAGGCAUUGCCUGCCCAGUGACAACUGUUUAACGGCCGCGGUAUCCUGACCGUGCAAAGGUAGCAUAAUCAUUUGUUCUCUAAAUAAGGACUUGUAUGAAUGGCCGCACGAGGGUUUUACUGUCUCUUACUUCCAAUCAGUGAAAUUGACCUUCCCGUGAAGAGGCGGGAAUGCACAAAUAAGACGAGAAGACCCUAUGGAGCUUUAACUAACCAACCCAAAGAGAAUAGAUUUAACCAUUAAGGAAUAACAACAAUCUCCAUGAGUUGGUAGUUUCGGUUGGGGUGACCUCGGAGAAUAAAAAAUCCUCCGAGCGAUUUUAAAGACUAGACCCACAAGUCAAAUCACUCUAUCGCUCAUUGAUCCAAAAACUUGAUCAACGGAACAAGUUACCCUAGGGAUAACAGCGCAAUCCUAUUCAAGAGUCCAUAUCGACAAUAGGGUUUACGACCUCGAUGUUGGAUCAGGACAUCCUGAUGGUGCAACCGCUAUCAAAGGUUCGUUUGUUCAACGAUUAAAGUCCUACGUGAUCUGA
rnacentral:rRNA from 1 species